ACGUGGCCCUGCAACUCCAAGCGAGGACGACGCAGCACACCUCAACGCGCUUUUCACGACUAAUACACAUCGAGAACAGGAUCGGCCGGUCCCUCUUUUUUGUUUCUUUUUGUUUUCUGUGUUUCCUUCCACUACGCAUGCGCGUGCGUGUGCCCCCGUGAGUGUGCCGGCGCGCGAGAGGAUCGCGAGGACUGCGGCGCUUCCUUGGACGACAGCACCAGCGCCUGAGCAACAAAGCGCACGCAGUGGCGAUGUUUCGCUCGUGGGGAGAGCUGACGAGCUGUGCUAGUGAGGUGUUCGACCUCUUCGCUGAGCCUUUGCCAGCGGCUUCCGGCGCGAAUGGCGCCGCGCCAUCGCAGGAUGUCGCUACCACUGCAGACGUCGGCCUGAGCCGAGUGGGGCUAGAAUGCGCCUUCUACGUCUUGUUUGGACGCUACCCCACUCCGUCGCUGAUUGCAGACUGCUUUAAAACGCUAUCGCCGUCAGCGUCACCUGCGCACCGCGCCUCCUCUGCACCGCCGCAGCAGCCAGCUCGUGACGCGCAUGGAAACACAGUUGCACAUUUGAAAUCGAGCUCUUCUUUCGCUCACUCUGACAGCGGGCGGUCGUCUCGCACAGGCGUCAAUGGCUUUAUGACGCGCUCCGCCUAUCUGCGCUUCGUCACGCUGUGCGCCGAAGAGGAGGGAGACGGGUUUGUCACGGAGCAGCCGCAAGGGGAUGCGGCUGCUAGUGUUACCGCCACUGCAUCGUGUGUGGACGGUAGGAAAGUGGCGCAGCUGCAGUGGUGGCGGCAGUUUCAAAGUGUCGCGGGCCCCAAAGGCUUCAUUGCUGCUGACGACCUUCUUGGCAUUCACCUCCAGGGCCCAUUCGCGGAUGUGCAAGAGGUGCUUGCGGUCCAUUCCCCGAUGUGUACAAGUGACUUUUCGACUGCAUCUCCGCGGAAUACGUCCGGUUCGCGGCAGGCACCUCUUGUGCAGCACAUCUUCUGGAUUCUGGACCGCGAUCACGACGGCAGCGUGCGCUUCGAGGACGUGCAACCAUACUUGCAGGAGCGCUGAGCGAGAGGAAGAUAGCACAGGCAAGCGGUGUACACGGGGCUCAGAGGGAAGGCAAAACGACGCGUGAGGGGCGCUGUGUGACGUCUACUACCUGCCUUUCUCGCCUCGUCUGUGCUGCUUCUGUUACGCACGUGCUCGCUGCUAUCGCACGCCAGAGGUGGCGGUGGAGAAUGCUUGUGUGGGGGAAGAAAACGAGCGACGAGCGCCAUACACGCGUAGUCAGGGACUGCUUGAAGCACUGCGCUACGCUUGGGGUGAAGUGCUCAAUUCUGCAAGUGUGGGCACAAACUGGCGACGGGCGACGUGCGCCCUGGGGCAAUGUGCAUGGAAAGAGGGAGAAGAGCUGCGGAACGCCUUUUUGUGUGUGACGCGUGCACUCCUGGUGACGCUUCGGCG
rnacentral:misc_RNA from 1 species